rnacentral:tRNA from 1 species
GUGAGCGUAGCUCAAUCUGGUUAGAGCACUGGACUGUGGAUCCAGGGGUUGGGGGUUCGAUUCCCCUCGCUCACCCCU